UCCUACGGGAGGCAGCAGAGGGGAAUAUUGGACAAUGGGCGCAAGCCUGAUUUAGCCAUACCGCGUGGGUGAAGAAGGCCUUCGGGUUGUAAAGCCCUUUUGUUGGGAAAGAAAAGCGAUCGGUUAAUACCCGGCUGUUCUGACGGUACCCAAAGAAUAAGCACCGGCUAACUUCGUGCCAGCAGCCGCGGCAAUACGAAGGGUGCAAGCGUUACUCGGAAUUACUGGGCGUAAAGCGUGCGUAGGUGGUGGUUUAAGUCCGUUGUGAAAGCCCUGGGCUCAACCUGGGAAUUGCAGUGGAUACUGGGUCACUAGAGUGUGGUAGAGGAUAGUGGAAUUUCCGGUGUAGCAGUGAAAUGCGUAGAGAUCGGAAGGAACAUCUGUGGCGAAGGCGACUAUCUGGGCCAACACUGACACUGAGGCACGAAAGCGUGGGGAGCAAACAGGAUUAGAUACCCUGGUAGUCCACGCCCUAAACGAUGCGAACUGGAUGUUGGGUUCAACUUGGAACCCAGUAUCGAAGCUAACGCGUUAAGUUCGCCGCCUGGGGAGUACGGUCGCAAGACUGAAACUCAAAUGAAUUGACGGA
rnacentral:rRNA from 1 species